AGCUGCCUACGGGAGGCAGCAGUAGGGAAUAUUGCUCAAUGGGGGAAACCCUGAAGCAGCAACGCCGCGUGCAGGAAGAAGGUUUUCGGAUUGUAAACUGCUUUAGACAGGGAAGAUAAUGACAGUACCUGUAGAGUAAGCUCCGGCUAACUACGUGCCAGCAGCCGCGGUAAUACGUAGGGAGCAAGCGUUAUCCGGAUUUAUUGGGUGUAAAGGGUGCGUAGACGGGAAGGCAAGUUAGUUGUGAAAUUCCUCGGCUUAACUGAGGAACUGCAACUAAAACUAUCUUUCUUGAGUGCUGGAGG
rnacentral:rRNA from 1 species